UGGGGCUGAGGUAGUAGAUUGAAUAGUUGUGGGGUUGUCUAACCUCUUUUUGAGAUAACUAUACAAUCUACUGUCUUUCCCAA
rnacentral:pre_miRNA from 1 species